AUAUUUUUCCUUGGGACUUAAGAGGUGGCUGUUGCUGACUAGUGUUUCUAGUAUAGUGCACGCCACACCUUCAAUCCCACUUACACCUGUGCACCUUCUGUAGUACUCACUUGUGGACGCAGACGUGUGGAAGUCUUCACUGACAUUCCUACUCUGCUGAAGCACUAUACUACGUUUUUUUCACACACACAAGAGACUUUGAAUGUGUAUUUUAUUUCUUAUGAGAAAAACAACUUUUAACAACGGAUCUCUUGGGUCUCGCAUCGAUGAAGAACGUAUCGAAUUACAAUAUGUGAUGUGAAUUGCAGCAAUUCUAGUGAAUCACCGAAUCUCUGAGCGCACCUUGCGCUCUUUGUGUAUUCCGAAAAGAACGCGUGUGUGAGUGUCACGAAUCUCUCAAAUAAAAUGAUUUAUUUUUGAAUCAUUAUUAUUUGGACUUGGAAAUUUGUCGGCGCCAAGUCCACCCUUCUUAAAUGCAUUAACUGGGGUUUAAAUAGUUGGAACCUUGUGUGGAUAAUUAUCUACCCCUUGAAAUCCCUGUAGACUCUGCUUCAAAUCGUCUCUACUGUUGAAGACAAUAUUUGAAUCAUCUGACCUCAAAUCAGGUAGGACUACCCGCUGACUAACCUUUCCAAGCGGAAGGAA
rnacentral:rRNA from 1 species